CGUGUAGGCGGCUUCUUAAGUCUGGUGUGAAAGCCCGGGGCUUACCCCCGGAAGGGCACUGGAAACUGGGAGGCUGGAGUACCGGAGAGGAGGGCGGAAUUCCUGGUGUAGCGGUGAAAUGCGUAGAUAUCAGGAGGAACACCGGUGGCGAAGGCGGCCCUCUGGACGGAUACUGACGCUGAGACGCGAAAGCGUGGGGAGCAAACAGGAUUAGAUACCCUGGUAGUCCACGCUGUAAACGAUGGGCACUAGGUGUUCGGGGUAUUGACCCCCUGAGUGCCGCAGCUAACGCAUUAAGUGCCCCGCCUGGGGACUACGGCCGCAAGGUUAAA
rnacentral:rRNA from 1 species